rnacentral:snRNA from 1 species
GUGCUUGCUUCAGCAGCACAUAUAUUGAAAUUGGAAUGAUAUGGAGAAGGUUAGCAUUGGCUCCUGCUAAAGGAUGACAUGCAAAUUCAUAAAGUGUUCCAUAUUUUU